UGGGCCCUCAAGCUUUACUGUAAGGAAUCUAAUGAGGAAUAGAAACUAGGAUCAAAUACCAUAUCCAAAGACCAAAAUUAAGCUCCAUAGGAAACACAAAUGAA